AGAAUCAACGCUGGCGGCGUGCCUAACACAUGCAAGUCGCACGAGAAAGGGACUUCGGUCCUGAGUAAAGUGGCGCACGGGUGAGUAACACGUGAAUCAUCUACCUCCGAAUGGGGAAUAACUGAGAGAAAUCUUAGCUAAUACCGCAUAAUACCCACGGGUCAAAGCAGCAAUGCGCUUGGAGAGGAGUUCGCGGCCGAUUAGCUAGUUGGCGGGGUAAUGGCCCACCAAGGCGAUGAUCGGUA
rnacentral:rRNA from 1 species